rnacentral:rRNA from 1 species
UACGUAGGGUGCGAGCGUUAAUCGGAAUUACUGGGCGUAAAGCGUGCGCAGGCGGUUCGUCGUGUCCGAUGUGAAAGCCCCGGGCUCAACCUGGGAAUGGCAUUGGAAACUGGCGGACUCGAGUGUGGCAGAGGGGGGUGGAAUUCCGCGUGUAGCAGUGAAAUGCGUAGAGAUGCGGAGGAACACCGAUGGCGAAGGCAGCCGCCUGGCCUGACACUGACGCUGAGGUGCGAAAGCGUGGGGAGCGAACGGG